rnacentral:rRNA from 1 species
UCUCCUGGAAAACGGGUGGUAAUACCGGAUGCUCCGCUCCAUCGCAUGGUGGGGUGGGAAAUGCUUUUGCGGCAUGGGAUGGGGUCGCGUCCUAUCAGCUUGUUGGCGGGGUGAUGGCCCACCAAGGCGUUGACGGGUAGCCGGCCUGAGAGGGUGACCGGCCACAUUGGGACUGAGAUACGGCCCAGACUCCUACGGGAGGCAGCAGUGGGGAAUAUUGCACAAUGGGCGCAAGCCUGAUGCAGCGACGCCGCGUGCGGGAUGGAGGCCUUCGGGUUGUAAACCGCUUUUGUUCAAGGGCAAGGCACGGUUUCGGCCGUGUUGAGUGGAUUGUUCGAAUAAGCACCGGCUAACUACGUGCCAGCAGCCGCGGUAAUACGUAGGGUGCGAGCGUUAUCCGGAUUUAUUGGGCGUAAAGGGCUCGUAGGCGGUUCGUCGCGUCCGGUGUGAAAGUCCAUCGCCUAACGGUGGAUCUGCGCCGGGUACGGGCGGGCUGGAGUGCGGUAGGGGAGACUGGAAUUCCCGGUGUAACGGUGGAAUGUGUAGAUAUCGGAAAAGAACACCA